AGAGUUUGAUCAUGGCUCAGAAUCAACGCUGGCGGCGUGCCUAACACAUGCAAGUCGAGCGAGAAAAGGGGAGCAAUCUCCUGAGUACAGCGGCGCACGGGUGAGUAACACGUGGGUAAUCUGCCCUGGAGUGGGGAAUAACACCGGGAAACCGGUGCUAAUACCGCAUACGAUAAUGAGGUCUGCGGACUUUGUUAUGAAAGGAGCAAUUCGCUCUAGGAGGAGCCCGCGGCUGAUUAGCUAGUUGGUGAGGUAAUGGCUCACCAAGGCUACGAUCAGUAUCCGGUCUGAGAGGACGGUCGGACACACUGGAACUGAGACACGGUCCAGACUCCUACGGGAGGCAGCAGUGGGGAAUUUUUGGCAGUGGGGGCAACCCUGACCAAGCAACGCCGCGUGGGUGAUGAAGUAUUUCGGUAUGUAAAACCCUUUCGACGGGGAAGAAAACCGCAAGGUUUGACGGUACCCGUAGAAGAAGCCCCGGCUAACUCCGUGCCAGCAGCCGCGGUAAUACGGGGGGGGCAAGCGUUGUUCGGAAUUACUGGGCGUAAAGGGCGCGUAGGCGGUCCGCUAAGUUAGAUGUGAAAACUCUGGGCUUAACCCAGAGCCUGCAUCUAAUACUGACGGGCUAGAGUUCUGGAGGGGGUAGCGGAAUUCCUGGUGUAGCGGUGAAAUGCGUAGAUAUCAGGAGGAACACCGGUGGCGAAGGCGGCUACCUGGACAGAAACUGACGCUGAGGCGCGAAAGCUAGGGGAGCAAACAGGAUUAGAUACCCUAGUAGUCC
rnacentral:rRNA from 1 species